CUAUUCUGGAACCAAUCAUCAUGUUUGAAAACUUGUUGGUGACACGUGAUUUGUUUAGGCGAUCACAUGCCGAUUUUGAUGAACUCGUAGUAACAAACUCAAAUAUAUUCAGAUCAAAAUAAAUUCAUAAUCAAAUAAAUUCAUAUUUACCUUAAGAUAGUUAUUUACUAAUCCACGAACACAUUAAAAAUAAUUAUCUAUUGCCACUAAAAUAUUUAUUAUAUGAGGGACCCAAUUCAUUUAGUCAUUUGGCUGCGUUCAGCGAACACAACAGUUGGACAACUGAUCAUUGAGCGCUUUUUGAGCAUAAAGUGAUCAGUGAAUAGUUUCCUGAACGAUCUAAACAUUUAUUGACAUACGCAAUAUAAACCUUGAAUGCACGGUGUGCCAUCGGGUAAAAUAUCUUGCGGAUCUAUCGGAAAGCACGUUUCGUUCAAACUCAUUCUGCAGCAUCUUUUACAUGCGUCGGCAACUAUUCAAAUGCAACAGACCCGCAUCGCAUUCUUCGUCACCUUCGACUCUCAAAUUACCACAGAAUGAUUCUUC